rnacentral:ncRNA from 2 species
GUCUUGAAGCGGGGGUGCCCCGGCGAACGCCGGGCUGAGAGAGUCCCUUGGAACCUGAUCCGGUUUGCACCGGCGUAGGGAGCUUGAUUCGAGUCGUG